GAUCUUAGUUACUCUUCACGAUAGCCCUUUAUGGAGGACAUAAUCUUCUCCAGUCUACAGAUGAAAAAUUCAAGCUCAAGGAGGCUAACUGACACACAAUAAUUUUGGGUUGGAAGCAGAGUUGAGAUUCAAGUACAGAUCUGCUUGCCUCUUAGUCAUAUGCUUUUCCUUGCCACACUUCUUUUUCAGUGUGUUCUACUGUGUAUUCUGGUAUCUGUUUAGCACAGUAACCAUCAGGUAUGUGCUAACCUGAAAUUCAGUAAUGGUGAGUGAAGUAAAACAAAGGUACAGUAAUAAGCCUUAAAAAUCUGCAAUUUGCUAAUUCUCUCAUUUCUUGUUGAAAUUCCAUUUGUUGAUCUAGGAAGAAUUUCCCAGAUUUUUUGAACCUACACUUGUCCUUCCACUGGAAUCCUGCUGUACUUCUUGAUCAGUAGAAAGACAGAAACAGGUGAGCUGGUGCUGGAGGUCAGUUGAGCAGAUGUUGGCAGCUGUUGAAGCUCUACUUGAUAACUUGCUGGGAAGAAGGAGCAGUGGAAAGAGCAGAACCUUUGGCCAAGGAAGGGGAUAUUUAUCUGGAUGGAAGACUCCAAAUGGUGACGAUUUUCUUCUCUCCCACCUUCCUUCCUCAACCCACACCAAGGAUUGAUUGUAGGUAAUAUUUUUUUCUAAAUGAUCUGAUACAAGUAACUUCAGAAAAAUAACAUUAUGCUUCUCUGGGUAAUAAAUUGGAUGUUGGGAUAAAUUGCGGGAAAAUUUCAUGAACAAUUUUA
rnacentral:lncRNA from 1 species